GUUCCUACGGGGGGCAGCAGUGGGGAAUAUUGCACAAUGGGCGCAAGCCUGACGCAGCGACGCCGCGUGCGGGAUGGAGGCCUUCGGGUUGUAAACCGCUUUUGUUCAAGGGCAAGGCACGGUCUUUGGGCGUGUUGAGUGGAUUGUUCGAAUAAGCACCGGCUAACUACGUGCCAGCAGCCGCGGUAAUACGUAGGGUGCAAGCGUUAUCCGGAUUUAUUGGGCGUAAAGGGCUCGUAGUCGGUUCGUCGCGUCCGGUGUGAAAGUCCAUCGCUGAACGGUGGAUCCGUGCCGUGUAC
rnacentral:rRNA from 1 species